rnacentral:rRNA from 1 species
UACGUAGGGUGCAAGCGUUGUCCGGAAUUAUUGGGCGUAAAGAGCUCGUAGGCGGUCUGUCGCGUCGGAUGUGAAAACCCAGGGCUCAACCCUGGGCCUGCAUUCGAUACGGGCAGACUAGAGUUCGGUAGGGGAGACUGGAAUUCCUGGUGUAGCGGUGAAAUGCGCAGAUAUCAGGAGGAACACCGGUGGCGAAGGCGGGUCUCUGGGCCGAAACUGACGCUGAGGAGCGAAAGCGUGGGGAGCGAAUGGG